GACGAACGCUGGCGGCGUGCCUAAUACAUGCAAGUUGAGCGCUGAAGGUUGGUACUUGUACCGACUGGAUGAGCAGCGAACGGGUGAGUAACGCGUGGGGAAUCUGCCUUUGAGCGGGGGACAACAUUUGGAAACGAAUGCUAAUACCGCAUAAAAACUUUAAACACAAGUUUUAAGUUUGAAAGAUGCAAUUGCAUCACUCAAAGAUGAUCCCGCGUUGUAUUAGCUAGUUGGUGAGGUAAAGGCUCACCAAGGCGAUGAUACAUAGCCGACCUGAGAGGGUGAUCGGCCACAUUGGGACUGAGACACGGCCCAAACUCCUACGGGAGGCAGCAGUAGGGAAUCUUCGGCAAGGGACGAAAGUCUGACCGAGCAACGCCGCGUGAGUGAAGAAGGUUUUCGGAUCGUAAAACUCGGUUGGUUGAGAAGAACGUUGGUGAGAGUGGAAAGCUCAUCAAGUGACGGUAACUAACCAGAAAGGGACGGCUAACUACGUG
rnacentral:rRNA from 1 species